rnacentral:rRNA from 1 species
GACGAACGCUGGCGGCGUGCUUAACACAUGCAAGUCGAACGGAAAGGCCUGUCCUUCCUUGUGUUGGACGGGUACUCGAGUGGCGAACGGGUGAGUAACACGUGAGUGAUCUGCCCCCAACUUGGGUAUAAGCCUGGGAAACUGGGUCUAAUUCCCGAUAGGACUGCAGGGUGGUGCCUGUGGUGGCAAACGAUUUUCUAGUGGUUGGGGAUGAGCUCGCGGCCUAUCAGCUUGUUGGUGGGGUAAUGGCCUACCAAGGCGGCGACGGGUAGCCGGCCUGGGAGGGUGGACGGCGACAGUGGGACUGAGAUACGGCCCAGACUCCUACGGGAGGCAGCAGUGGGGAAUAGUGGACAAUGGGCGGAAGCCUGAUGCAGCGACGCCGCGUGGGGGAUGACGGCCUUCGGGUUGUAAACUCCUUUCGACCGCGAGGAAGCCGCCUGGUUGGAAGGGUGGUGACGGUAGUGGUAGAAGAAGCACCGGCUAACUACGUG